GAGGAGCUGCUGAAGGGAAGGCCACGCUCAUGUGCCUGGCCAACAAGGGCUUCCCCUCAGACUGGAGUCUGGCCUGGAAGGUGGACGGCAGCAGCAGCAGCAGCAGCAGCAGCUGGGAGGAGAGCAGGAGCCCCGGGGUGCUGGAGAAGGACGGCAAAUACAGCUGGAGCAGCACCCUGAGGCUCCCUGCAGACCAGUGGGAGAAGGUGGGCUCUGUGACCUGUGAGGCCACCCAGGGCUCCCAGACUCCACUCUCAGAGACACUGAGGAGAGACCAGUGUUCCCAGUCCUGACCUGACUCACUGGGACUCUGCUACUGGUUUCACUCUGAUACUGAUCUCAGUCUGCUCUCUCCCUCUCUCCCUCUCUCCUCCUCUCUCUAUC